rnacentral:piRNA from 1 species
UACGAUCGUUGGGGGUGAGAA